GGUUUUACUGUUUUACCCUUGCUUUUAUCAUCAAUUUUUCACACUCCUUGGAAAUUUCUCAACAUUUUUGUAGUGUUACUGAAAAAAGCUAAACGAACAGCUCUCACUAUCGAACUCGCGAGCGGGCGAGCGCUAAUUUCCAAUAAGUCUGGGUUACUGCCAGAGAAGAUUGAGGUAUAAAUUUGAAUUAAGUGCAAAUCACUUAUCUCAUAUUUAAAAGCCACAUCAUACUUUGAACUAGCUUCACCUUGUUGCUGAAGUAGUAAGGACCUUGUCUUGUGCUGUUAGGGAAGUAGUGAUACAACAAUAUAAUUUAAUCAUAAAUUGUCGAAACGUGAGAGACGUGUCGCAGAAACACAAAAUACGCUCAGUGGGAGAUUCUCUCACCGAACAAUAAACCAAUAUGGCGGCACAACAUGUAGGCCUAGUUUCUCUAGAGUGAAUCCGGAUACCAUCGGAUGCGUGUGGGCAGGUGAAUAAGAUUUGAAUACGUUACGUGUGGACGGGGAUAUUUUUGAAUCCGGAAAGACAAAGUUUCGGAUUCAAAAAUAUCUGGAUACGUGCAUGUGGACGGGGCCUUCAUCAAUCAGGAAGUAAAAUGUAUUUAAGGAUGCAAAAUUACUUCCGAUCAUUAUAAUUCUUCUCAAUUGACUUUUGCAUUGUUAAAUAAUGAAAAAUACGAACCUUGUUUGAUCACUACUAGGAAGUACGGAUGCAACAUUCCUUCACGCAUAAGGCAGAUGUUGAAGAUAUAAAAGUGAACCUUUUUACCCAGUAAAUACAGUUACCUAGAAGCGGUGACACGUUAAUGACAAGAAGUUACCAGUGACCUAGCUACUUAUCAACCAACAAGAGUGAGUGCAGUUAAAUUCUAUUACAGUGUAUCUCAAAUUCUAAAGCCAUGCAUGUGCAAAAUAUUCACUCUAGUUUUUACGUGCACUUGUUUUAAACAUUUUACAGGAUGAGUUCUCCAGUGUUUGCCAUAUUGUUGAUGAUGAGUCUCAUGUUAAAUCCACUUGACGCCUCACCAGUCAUCAAGGUGAGAAGACGAUUUAGGAGGGUUGUUGUACGGGUUGUUCCUGCUUUGUUUGCCCGCACUAUUUUGUCUUUUCUGCGUGUGUCCUGAGUUUGAUUCGUUUAAUUUGUUUCCAUGAGCGUCUGGCUUAAACGUAUCACUUGCCUGCGCAGGCACGCUUAUAGAACGAGGAAUAUUUUGCACGGGUUCUUUUUGUUUUGUUUGCAAGCGUAGUUUUUUUUUUUUCCUGAACAAGUAAUUCGCUAUUUUUCACGGUGUAAAUCUCAGUUGCUAUAAUGGAUGCAGCUUCACCAGUUGCACGACUUGUACGGCUCGCUCACUCGCACGAGUUGUCAAGGCCCCUUACUAACUAAGACGCAGUACAAUUCGUAGGAGUCGAUCGGGUGUUACUUAAUGGAUGCCGAGAUCUCACCAUUUGCAGUUGAAGGACACUACUUUACUCCACUGAAAAGUACCACAUUCAUCAAUUGAAUCAGUCGAUUGUACCAAUCGCAAGCCAUAUUUUUUGAACCACUUGAAUCUUGACCUUCACGACUUGAACAAGAACCGCUUGUUGUUUGGAGUUUCCAAGUUUGUGUCGAUUUCUCUAAAGCUAUUGGCUUUGUUUUCUUCUGUGUAAUCAUUGUAUUGUAAAUAACGUUUUAUAUCUCACUAGGUAGCAGAUGUUGAGGAAUUUCGUCUCCGUAUUCACGAGUCUGGAACAGAGUUCAACGAGACGGUUACAAUUGAUAAAAACCAACAAACAGAACUGUUUAAAGUUCCAACCCACAACGACGUUGAAAAGUCUGAUAUCUUGUUUGACUUUAAAAAGAAUGCUACAGUUAUUCAUUUUCCGCUCAAGAGCGUCUGCUUCCUACUUCCACUGGCACGAGAUCAGCCCACACCAAAGAAUCUAGUGAGGAAUCUACAGGAUGUUGCCAGUAAUAAUGUCGUGACAACGCAGAAAGAAACACUAAUGGUCGAUAAAGAGGUUACAGACCGUUCUAUGCUAAGUAACGGCACUGUGAGUCUUUGUUCAAGGUCUCGAAUCUUCCAAGUGGCACAAUUACCGAGUGGACGGAUUGAAGUAACAAAAAGGAAUCCCCAUGAAAGUAAAUGUUCUGAAACACGUACAUUCUUUUUUAGUCUUUGUCAGUUUGGUUUCAAGCUCUUCACCCUUACGCCAUGUGCACCAAUGAUUCUUUUUUCAUUCGUUAACUCAACAGAGCUCAGUUUAUCUAAACAAAUACGAACUGUGCGACUGGCACAGUACUGUAUAACGAGUAAUAUUUUUUCUGCUUUAUCAGAUUAAUUAUCUUUGUUUUCCUGCAAUCUGAUUAGUUUUUAGCCGUUCU